rnacentral:rRNA from 1 species
GGUAGCUCAUCCCGGGCGAUGGUAGUCCCGGGGUAAGGACGUAGGGAGUCAUGUAGGCAAAUCCGCAUGGCAUUAAUCCUGAGAUCUGAUGCCGAGCCGUUUUAGGCGAAGUGAGUGAUCCCAUGCUGCCGAGAAAAGCCUCUAGCGAGUGUACUGGCGGCCCGUACCCCAAACCGACUCAGGUGGUCAGGUAGAGAAUACUAAGGCGAUCGGGUGAACUGUGGUUAAGGAACUCGGCAAAUUGCCCCCGUAACUUUGGGAGAAGGGGGGCCAUGACCGGUGAUAGCCCUUGCGGCUUGAGCUGGUGGUGGCCGCAGAUACCAGGGGGAAGCGACUGUUUACUAAAAACACAGGUCCGUGCUAAGUCGUAAGACGCUGUAUACGGACUGACGCCUCCCCGGUGCUGGAACGUUAAGAGGACCGGUUAGCCAUUUCGGUGGCGAAGCUGAGAAUCUAAGCGCCAGUAAAACGGCGGUGGUAACUAUAACCAUCCUAAGGUAGCGAAAUUCCUUGUCGGGUAAGUUCCGACCUGCACGAAUGGCGUAACGACUUCCCCACUGUCUCAACCACAGACCCGGCGAAAUUGCACUACGAGUAAAGAUGCUCGUUACGCGCAGCAGGACGGAAAGACCCCGGGACCUUCACUACAGCUUGGCAUUGGCGUUUGGAAAGUCUUGUGUAGGAUAGGUGGGAGACUGUGAAGCUUCGACGCUAGUCGAGGUGGAGUCAUUGGUGAAAUACCACUCUGGUCGUUUCGACCGUCUAACCCGGGCCCAUGAUCUGGGUCGGGGACAGUGCCUGGUGGGUAGUUUAACUGGGGCGGUUGCCUCCCAAAAAGUAACGGAGGCGCCCAGAGGUUCCCUCAGCCUGGUUGGCAAUCAGGUGGCGAGUGCAAGGGGCACAAGGGAGCUUGACUGUGAGACAGACAUGUCGAGCAGGAGCGAAAGCUGGGCCUAGUGAUCCGGCACCUACGUGUGGAAGUGGUGUCGCUCAACGGCUAAAAGGUACCCCGGGGAUAACAGGCUGAUCUUCCCCAAGAGUCCAUAUCGACGGGAUGGUUUGGCACCUCGAUGUCGGCUCGUCGCAUCCUGGGGCUGGAGUAGGUCCCAAGGGUUGGGCUGCUCGCCCAUUAAAGCGGCACGCGAGCUGGGUUUAGAACGUCGCGAGACAGUUCGGUCCCUAUCCGCUGCGCGCGUAGGAGUCUUGAGAGGAUCUGUCCCUAGUACGAGAGGACCGGGAUGGACGAACCUCUGGUGUGCCAGUUGUCCUGCCAAGGGCACGGCUGGUUGGCUACGUUCGGAAAGGAUAACCGCUGAAAGCAUCUAAGCGGGAAACCUGCCUCAAGAUGAGGACUCCCUCCCCCGUAAGGGGGGUAAGGCCCCCAGCAGAACACUGGGUUGAUAGGCCGGAAAUGGAAGCACCGCAAGGUGUGGAGUUGACCGGUACUAAUAGGCCGAGCGACUUGCC